rnacentral:rRNA from 1 species
UUGAACGCUGGCGGAAUGCUUUACACAUGCAAGUCGAGCGGCAGCGCGGGGCAACCUGGCGGCGAGCGGCGAACGGGUGAGUAAUAUAUCGGAACGUGCCCAGUCGUGGGGGAUAACGUAGAGAAAUUUACGCUAAUACCGCAUACGAUCUAAGGAUGAAAGCGGGGGACUCGCAAGGGCCUCGCGCGAUUGGAGCGGCUGAUAUCAGAUUAGGUUGUUGGUGAGGUAAAAGCUCACCAAGCCGACGAUCUGUAGCUGGUUUGAGAGAACGACCAGCCACACUGGGACUGAGACACGGCCCAGACUCCUACGGGAGGCAGCAGUGGGGAAUUUUGGACAAUGGGCGAAAGCCUGAUCCAGCAAUGCCGCGUGCAGGAAGAAGGCCUUCGGGUUGUAAACUGCUUUUGUACGGAACGAAACGGUCCUUUCUAAUAAAGAGGGCUAAUGACGGUACCGUAAGAAUAAGCACCGGCUAACUACGU